rnacentral:rRNA from 1 species
CCAGACUCCUACGGGAGGCAGCAGUGGGGAAUAUUGCACAAUGGGGGAAACCCUGAUGCAGCGACGCCGCGUGAAGGACGAAGUAUUUCGGUACGUAAACUUCUAUCAGCAGGGAAGAAAAUGACGGUACCUGACCAAGAAGCCCCGGCUAACUACGUGCCAGCAGCCGCGGUAAUACGUAGGGGGCAAGCGUUAUCCGGAUUUACUGGGUGUAAAGGGAGCGUAGACGGCCAUGCAAGUCUGAUGUGAAAACCCGGGGCUCAACCCCGGGACUGCAUUGGAAACUGUGCGGCUGGAGUGUCGGAGAGGCAAGUGGAAUUCCUAGUGUAGCGGUGAAAUGCGUAGAUAUUAGGAGGAACACCAGUGGCGAAGGCGGCUUACUGGACUGUAACUGACGUUGAGGCUCGAAAGCGUGGGGAGCAAACAGGAUUAGAUACCCGAGUAC